CACCUACGGGUGGCAGCAGUGAGGAAUAUUGGACAAUGGGCGCAAGCCUGAUCCAGCCAUGCCGCGUGCAGGAAGACGCAUCUAUGGUGUGUAAACUGCUUUUGUACGGGAAGAAACACUCCUUCGUGAAGGAGCUUGACGGUACCGUAAGAAUAAGGAUCGGCUAACUCCGUGCCAGCAGCCGCGGUAAUACGGAGGAUCCAAGCGUUAUCCGGAAUCAUUGGGUUUAAAGGGUCCGUAGGCGGUUUAGUAAGUCAGUGGUGAAAGCCCAUCGCUCAACGAUGGAACGGCCAUUGAUACUGCUAGACUUGAAUUACUAGGAAGUAACUAGAAUAUGUAGUGUAGCGGUGAAAUGCUUAGAUAUUACAUGGAAUACCAAUUGCGAAGGCAGGUUACUACUAGUGGAUUGACGCUGAUGGACGAAAGCGUGGGGAGCGAACAGGAUUAGAUACCCUGGUAGUCCACGCCGUAAACGAUGGAUACUAGCUGUUCGGAGCAAUCUGAGUGGCUAAGCGAAAGUGAUAA
rnacentral:rRNA from 1 species